rnacentral:tRNA from 1 species
GGGGGCAUAGCUCAGCGGGAGAGCGUCUGCUUUGCAAGCAGAGGGUCUGCGGUUCGAAUCCGCAUGCCUCCA